rnacentral:rRNA from 1 species
ACCGCCUGGGGAGUACGGCCGCAAGGUUAAAACUCAAAUGAAUUGACGGGGGCCCGCACAAGCGGUGGAGCAUGUGGUUUAAUUCGAUGCAACGCGAAGAACCUUACCUACUCUUGACAUCCAGAGAACUUAGCAGAGAUGCUUUGGUGCCUUCGGGAACUCUGAGACAGGUGCUGCAUGGCUGUCGUCAGCUCGUGUUGUGAAAUGUUGGGUUAAGUCCCGCAACGAGCGCAACCCUUAUCCUUUGUUGCCAGCGGUUAGGCCGGGAACUCAAAGGAGACUGCCAGUGAUAAACUGGAGGAAGGUGGGGAUGACGUCAAGUCAUCAUGGCCCUUACGAGUAGGGCUACACACGUGCUACAAUGGCGCAUACAAAGAGAAGCGACCUCGCGAGAGCAAGCGGACCUCAUAAAGUGCGUCGUAGUCCGGAUUGGAGUCUGCAACUCGACUCCAUGAAGUCGGAAUCGCUAGUAAUCGUAGAUCAGAAUGCUACGGUGAAUACGUUCCCGGGCCUUGUACACACCGCCCGUCACACCAUGGGAGUGGGUUGCAAAAGAAGUAGGUAGCUUAACCUUCGGGAGGGCGC